AUUAAAGAGUUUGGCGCGUUCGUCCUUCUUGAAAAUGUUGAAGGUAGGCGAGAAGGUUUGGUUCAUAUUUCAGCCAUUCGAAAUCAGGAACGUAUUAUGAAUAUUCACUCCGUUCUAGAAAUUUCCCAGCGCGUGAAAGUUAAAGUUAUAAAUAUAUCUGGUGGAAAAGUUUCUUUAUCGAUGAAGGACGUUGACCAAAACACC